AGGGUGCCAGUGCCGCCGUUCAGGGUGGAGACAACCCCGCUGGCACUACCUUAUUGAAUCACAUGAGCUCAGACUCAGCUACGCUUGCGUUCAUAAAUAGUGUUACUCGCGGUGCGCUUCCAAGUGCUUUGCCUUGAUAACGUUCUUUUUAUCGGUAUCGCAUCUGCAGAUCUUUAUAACCAAUAGCCGUUAACUAUUCGAGGGUUGAAGACGUAAAUGUAUGGCACCGGGAACAUGUCCCAAGUUGCCUAAUUCAAUCACAUUUAAUAUGCCGUGUGUAUGUUAGAAAGACACCAUCUUUUUUUUUUUUUCGCUUCAUUGCUUGGUAUAUAAGGUUUCCGACCGACCCCCUGUGUGUGGAAGAUGUUUUUCUUUUUCGCUGAUGUAUAUUGGUUUACACUUCCCACCUCCUUUACCGUUGCCAGCCACUUGCACAAGGCGGUUAGUUUCACUUGCGUUGUGCGUGCUCAUUGCAUUCUUUGCAAAUAUUUGACAAUAUCUACGCGCAAUUUUCCUUUUUUUUUUCGCCCACAAAAGUGUGUGCUGACAGGAUUAAGCUAUUGUAAAGAUAACUGCUAUGUGAAAGUAAGGUGUAAUUAGUGCUGUAGAGAAACAUGUAACGUAACUUGUCAGUGUCAAUCUUGCAUAGUACACACAAGAAACCAAAUGAUGCACAAAAUACAUUUACUUAGUAAUGUCUAGUACAGUCAAUCAUGAAAGAGAUAUGUACAUGAAGAAUUAUAUGUUCUGUGUGCCGCCUGAAUGUUAUGUUGAAAGACAUAACAAAA
rnacentral:lncRNA from 1 species